UAUACCGCUGCCCCAGUCGUCAGCCACGCUGUUGCUGUCCCAGCCUUCAGCCACGCUGUCGCCACUUCUGCUCUUAGCUAUACGCUCGUUACGCUGCUCCAGCCCUCACCCACGCUGUUGCUGCCCCAGCUGUUAGCUACGCUCGUUACGCUGCUCCAGCCGUAGCCACCGUUGCCCAGCCCCCGUCGUCAGCCACACUGUUGCUGCUCCAGCUCUGAGCUACGCCCGUUACGCUGCUCCAGCGCUCUCUUACGCCCGUUGCGCUGCUCCAGCCCUUAGCUACGCUCGCUACGCCGCCCCAGCCGUCGCCACUGUAGCUGCCCUAGCUGUUCACACCGCCGUCGCGGCUCCAGCAGCCGCCGUGACGGUCACGGUCUCGGCCUUGGCUACGGUCUUCGAUACGGCAGCACCCUCGGAUACGGCACCACCCUCGGAUAUGGCCGCGGUCUUUCCUACGGCCUUGGCUAUGGAGGUGUUGGCUACGGUCUUGGCUACGGCUACGGUCUCGGCGGAUACAACUAUGGCCUUGGUGGCCAGUACUACGCUCUCCGCAAGAAAUAGACGAUCCUCUGGAUGAUCCAAAGGAAAACAUGGUGGCAAGCCCACUGUUCUACCAUCAACACAGGGAUGUCUACCGCUCUCGUCGAGGAAUCUGAGGAGUCUAAUUUAUGAAACAUGUACGAAAGAAUGCGAAAUUAAAAUACAAUCUUUUAUUUUGCA